rfam:Lupinus angustifolius cultivar Tanjil chromosome LG15, whole genome shotgun sequence.
AGGUGCGAUCAUACCAUCACUAAUGCAUCGGAUCUUAUCAGAAAUGCGCCAUUAAUCGUGCUUGGGUGACAGUAGUACUAGGAUGGGUAACCUCCUCGGAAGUCCUCGUGUUGCACCUU